CAGAGUGAAAUAAUGAAAAAGAAUUUUUCAUUAAGGUUUCACAUCGGACUCGGAUCGAUCGAUUAACUCAUAUGACUGAUGUUGGGUUUGACGAGUUCACCUUAACCCUAAUUCAGUCGGGACUCAUGAUAAAGGAACUCAAUCACACAGGUAACUGCACCGAGAGGUUCAUCUUUAGUUAUGAUGGGUUGGCACCACAUACUGCUAGGUAUCACUGGUGGAUUUUGAGAGCAAUUAGAAUGAUAUUGAUGAUCGAUCAUUCUAAUUGUCUGAAUCAGAAGAGUUCUGGUCCAUCGAAAGGAGUUUCGAUGAUGUCGAUGAUGAGAUCAUGA
rnacentral:lncRNA from 1 species